rnacentral:rRNA from 1 species
GAAAAAAUUAGAGUGUUCAAAGCAGGCAGAUCCAAUUUUCUGCCACCGAAUACAUUAGCAUGGGAUAAUGGAAUAGGACCCUGUCCUCCUAUUUUCAGUUGGUUUGCCGCGAGGACCAGGGUAAUGAUUAAUAGGGAUAGUUGGGGGCAUUAAUAUUUAAUUGUCAGAGGUGAAAUUCUUGGAUUUAUGAAAGAUUAACUUCUGCGAAAGCAUCUGCCAAGGAUGUUUUCAUUAAUCAAGAACGAAAGUUAGGGGAUCGAAGACGAUCAGAUACCGUCGUAGUCUUAACCAUAAACGAUGCCGACCAGCGAUUAGGAGACGUUGAAUACAAAACACCACCAUGCGCAUUGCGGUCGUCUUUGGUGUCGCUCACAAG